rnacentral:rRNA from 1 species
UACGUAGGUGACAAGCGUUGUCCGGAUUUACUGGGCGUAAAGAGCGCGCAGGCGGUCGAUCAAGUCGAGUGUGAAAGCCCCCGGCCCAACUGGGGAGGGUCAUUCGAUACUGAUCGACUCGAAGGCAGGAGAGGGUAGUGGAAUUCCCGGUGUAGUGGUGAAAUGCGUAGAUAUCGGGAGGAACACCAGUGGCGAAGGCGGCGACCUGGGCCAAUAUUGACGCUGAGGUGCGAAAGCGUGGGGAGCAAACAGG